ACGUAGGGGGCAAGCGUUGUCCGGAUUUAUUGGGCGUAAAGAGCGUGUAGGCGGCUUUACAGGUCCGUUGUGAAAACUCGAGGCUCAACCUCGAGACGCCGGUGGAAACCGUAAAGCUAGAGUCCGGAAGAGGAGAGUGGAAUUCCUGGUGUAGCGGUGAAAUGCGCAGAUAUCGGGAAGAACACCCGUGGCGAAGGCGGUUCUCUGGGACGGUAUUGACGCUGAUGCGCGAAAGCCAGGGGAGCAAACGGGA
rnacentral:rRNA from 1 species